rnacentral:lncRNA from 1 species
AUGGGGCCCCCCACGCAGGAGAGGGGAUGGAAUCGGGGUCCCCCACACGGGGAGAGGGGAUGCAGCCGCCUGCCAGGGUCGCGGAUUCGCAUCUCCAUGGUAACUGGUUCUAAUCCCAGCACCGUUGCCCUGGAAACCGUCAGCCAAGAUUUCGGGGCAGAUGGCGGCGAAGCUGCGCGGCCCACAGGAGCCCGCCAUGGGAGCCUCACUCCGGGUUGGUCUCCUCCCCACGUUCCGGUCACGGACACGGCUGACACGGCCCGGAGACACCAGCUGCAGAGGGGCCGGCGCCAACUUCUAGAACCUUCUGAAGCACAGUGUGCCUUCUGGGAAAGGUGCGUGUUUGGGGCAGACAAGGCUGUCCUUUUCAGGGACAGGAGGUAGGAUUCCAUUCUUGCGUGCGUCCGUUGCAUUUCUGUCGUGGCUCUGUGUCGCUCGCUGUGAGCCCAUCGUAGAAGAACCCUGUGGCAUAACCUCCUAGCAUAUUUGAUGUUGCGGGGUUGACACAGGUGACUCCAUCUUGGUCCUGGCAAUUCUCCCAUUCCUUCACGCCACAGUGUCACUGUGUCACUGUGUCACUGCCACAGCCAAGAGAGCUCUGAGUUGGAAGGUCACGGUUGCCUGGGAGAAAACCGUCCCUGGGGGACCUGUGCCAGGUGUCCGUCUUCAGAUGCUUGCAAUGUGGGUCCUGGCAGACUCCGAAUCCGCUCUGACACCCUGCUCCAAUCCCUGAAACCCACCGCCUCCCAGACGCCCGGUGUCAGGAGGCGAUGACGGAGUGGUUUGUCACCCACAGACCGUCAGUGCAGCCACGCACCUCACGUUCUCGGGGCUCCGGGACCUUCCUCGUUCCCCCCACUUCUCUGCUGGCGGCAGUGCCUGGCGUCGUCACGGAGACCGCACAGGUGCCUGCAGCCUCCGCUGUCAACCCCACUUGGAGGCAAAGGCGAUUAGUUGUUCCAAUGCUUCCUUUCCAAGCUCAUUCCAGGAGCGUUCAGAAUUCUUUCAUCUUCCCCAAAGAAGCUGUUAAAACCCUUGUCAUAUUCCUGGAACCUCUCUCCCCCUGGGCUCAGCCUGCCACUGAAAUCCUGUUUUUUUCUUAAGCCUGAUGGUGCCACCUCGGGGUCUGGAUGGAGUCCAGAGCCAGGCACUCGAAAGUUGGUCAGACGAAUUCAGCUGAGAGACUUUUUGCGCCUCACUGUGCGAAAGCCCUUGUCACUCAGAAGGGUGACACACGUGUCACACGGCGUCGUGGAAAACCAGAACCAGACGGCUCAGCUUCCGCCCUGCCCUCCGCCCCAGCUGUCGGGUGUUGAGCUGGACAGGUGCCAGCCCCGCUGGGGACGGGAGGCGGGGACUGGGAGCAGCUCCACACCCGGGGCUG